AUGGCGGAGGCUGCUCUUCUUCUUGUCACAAUAAAGAUUGGAAUAGCUGUCGGAGCAGAAACGCUUCACUAUGCUAGGUCUGUUGCAAAACUCUCAGAGAACAUGACACUGAUAAGGAAUGACCUGCAGCUUAUUCGAGCAUUUAUCAAGGAGACUGAAAGGAGAGCUUUGACAGAUGGAGUCACCGAAACAUGGACAGGGCAAGUCCGAAGAUUGGCGUAUGACAUGGAAGACAUUGUGGAUCAAUUUAUGUAUGUUGUUGGCAAACACCAUCAGAAAGGAUCAUGGUGGAGUUAUGUGAAGAAAAUCGUGAAGAAACCCCAGUAUCUGUUUACACUAGGUGAAAUUGCUACUGGCCUUAAGAAAAUAAACCGAGCCCUUACACAUCUUAAACAAAAAAAUUAUGCCAGCCAACAGCAACUAUAUCUUCCUGGACAUGAUUACUCAAUCUCUGAUGAUGAACUUGUGGGAUUUGAUAAAAAUAGAAAAAUAUUGAUGGGGUCACUGAAUUUGGAAAAUUCCAAAUUUGAAAUCAUUGCCUUGUGGGGUAUGGGUGGUAUUGGAAAAAGCACUCUUGUUAGUAAUGUGUUCAGAACUGAAGCAUCCAACUUUGAAUUUCAUGCAUGGGUUUCUGUCUCCCAGUCCUAUAAACUAGAUGAUAUUUGGAGAAGAAUGCUGAAAGAAAUCUAUUCUAAAGACAAGAAAGAAUUUGAUGCUGAGAAGAUGACCUGUCGAGAGUUACAAGAUGAAUUGAAGGAACUCCUGAAGAUAAGACAAUACUUGAUCAUACUGGAUGAUGUCUGGACAGCUGAAGACUUACGAAAAAUUAAAGAGGUUCUUGUCGAUGCAAAAAUGGGAAGCAGAAUAAUACUGACAACAAGAUCUGAGGAAGUUGCUUCAAUUGCUCAUGAUGGUUGCAGGAUCAAAGUGGAGCCUCUUGAGGAGGAGGAUGCAUGGCGUCUGUUUUGCAGGAAGGCAUUUCCAAGCACUGAAAAUCACGUCUGCCCAUUAGCAUUACAAGAGUGUGGUAAAUCGAUAGUGGAGAGGUGUGAUGGUUUACCAUUAGCUCUUGUGGCCAUAGGGAGCUUAUUAUCUCUUAAGGCGCAGAAUGUUGCAGAUUGGAAACUAUGUGAUGCGCAACUUAUUUCCGAUCUACACAAAAAUGAGAACCCAAGUCGCGUGGAGAAAAUUCUGAAUCUAAGCUACAAAUACUUGCCUGACUAUUUGAAGAGUUGUUUCUUGUAUUGUACCAUGUUCCCAGAAGACCACAUGAUCCAUAGAAAAAGACUGAUCAGACUAUGGGUCGCUCAAGGGUUUGUUGAACAAAUUGGAAAUUGCAGUUUAGAAGAUGUUGUUGAAGGUUACCUGACACAGCUCGUUCAACGAAGCAUGCUUCAUGUGGUAGAGAGGAACAGUUUUAACAGGAUCAGGUGA
rnacentral:rRNA from 1 species